CCCAGACUCCUACGGGAGGCAGCAGUGGGGAAUAUUGCACAAUGGGGGAAACCCUGAUGCAGCAACGCCGCGUGAAGGAAGACGGUUUUCGGAUUGUAAACUUCUAUCAAUAGGGAAGAAAGAAAUGACGGUACCUAAAUAAGAAGCCCCGGCUAACUACGUGCCAGCAGCCGCGGUAAUACGGAGGAUGCGAGCGUUAUCCGGAUUUAUUGGGUUUAAAGGGUGCGCAGGCGGAGGUGCAAGUCAGCGGUAAAAUUUCGGGGCUCAACCCCGUCGUGCCGUUGAAACUGGCGUUCUUGAGUGAGCGAGAAGUAUGCGGAAUGCGUGGUGUAGCGGUGAAAUGCAUAGAUAUCACGCAGAACUCCGAUUGCGAAGGCAGCAUACCGGCGCUCAACUGACGCUCAUGCACGAAAGCGUGGGUAUCGAACAGGAUUAGAUACCCUUGUACG
rnacentral:rRNA from 1 species